rnacentral:lncRNA from 1 species
GAGGAGCUAGGGGCCUGCCCACGGGAGCGCAGGACCCAGGGAGCCGUGCAAGGAGGAGGGUCGGGCUGGUCUCAGCCCCUCCUCGCCCCCAGGUUCCCACUCCAUGAGGUAUUUCAGCACUGCCGUUUCCCGGCCGGGUCGCAGGGAGCCCCGGUACAUCGCAGUGGGCUAAGUGGACGACACGCAGUUCGUGCGGUUAGACAACGACGCGGCGAGUCCGAGGAUGGAGCCGCAGACGCCGUGGGUGGUGCAGGAGGGGCCGGAGUAUUGGGACGGGAGCACACGGAACAUCAAGGCCCACGCACAGACUGACAGAGUGAACCUGCGGAUGCUGCCUCACUACUACAACCAGAGCUAGGCCGACCCCCCGCUCCAAGACACAUAUGACCCACCAUUCCGUCUCUGACUAUAAGGCCACCCUGAGGUGCAG